AUGCAGUCGAGCGGUAGCACAGAGAGCUUGCUCUCGGGUGACGAGCGGCGGACGGGUGAGUAAUGUCUGGGAAACUGCCUGAUGGAGGGGGAUAACUACUGGAAACGGUAGCUAAUACCGCAUAAUGUCGCAAGACCAAAGUGGGGGACCUUCGGGCCUCAUGCCAUCAGAUGUGCCCAGAUGGGAUUAGCUAGUAGGUGGGGUAACGGCUCACCUAGGCGACGAUCCCUAGCUGGUCUGAGAGGAUGACCAGCCACACUGGAACUGAGACACGGUCCAGACUCCUACGGGAGGCAGCAGUGGGGAAUAUUGCACAAUGGGCGCAAGCCUGAUGCAGCCAUGCCGCGUGUGUGAAGAAGGCCUUCGGGUUGUAAAGCACUUUCAGCCGGGAG
rnacentral:rRNA from 1 species